CCUCAGGUGAGGCGGUUCAGAAACUCUUACGGCCACCGGUUGCUGUUUGUCCCCAGAGAGGGCUUAAAAGCUGAAUAACCCCCUCCCAAAAUGAUGACCAUAGGCGAAACCCCUCAGAACAUAUCUGCCCACAAAUUGCUUAACAAUCUCUAGGAUGAAGCAAGUUGCGCCAGGAUGCUCUCCGCAGCGAACCCUUCAGCCCCGUUCUCCGUGCCUCGAGGAAAGCUUUCCUCUGCCCUUGGCUGCCCACCGCGCAGAGGCGGAGGGGAGGGCUCGCUGCUUUGCUCUCAGCUCCCCCAGGGCGCCCGGUGCCCGCGCAGGGUACGAGGCCGGGCUGCGGGCUGCCCUCGGGGCAGGGGGUGCGCCCGGCGCCGGGAGGUGCCUGCCCCGAGCUGGUACCCCGGGCACAGCCCGGCACCCGGCGGUGUUUACCCAUGACUCAGGGCCAGGCGAGGGAUGCAAAGACUUCGCAAGGUGAGGGAGAUGGCAAAGGAGGUGCCAGCUAAUAGAUCGGCUGCCGUCCCGUGGGGCAAAGGAGUGUUGACAGAUCACGUUAAUCAGGCUUGUUGGUGCCGGGUCAUGUUGACCGAUUCCUGAAUAGUUGCCAUUGUGCCGCGCUUGCGAAAGGAACCCGAGCAAACAUCACCCCAGAAAGGAAGCUUUUCUGCCAUCUUCAGUUGAAAUCUAAGCUACACGUUGAAGAUCAGUCUCUACCCAACAGCACACCUUCUUUGAGCAAAUGAUUUUUGUCUCCAUUCAACAAAGUAAUAACAAGCAACUGAUAAAUGAGUAAGACUAAAAGAGAUGCCGUCAGUGAGACCUGGGCUGGAGUCCAUGCUCCUUCCUUGCUUGCACAUAGGAAGCAGAAAGGAUGAGCCAAGAGCAGAUGCUGCAGUGAUCACAAUAGUGUGUACAGAAUUAAUCUUUAUGGCAGAGGUACAGUAUAUCCAGGCAAAUGAUCUCUGCAAGGCAGACAGAGGACCAGAUCCUGGGCAUAGAAUUCCAAGGAACAUCCAACAAGAAAAAUACAGCCAACUUCUUCCACCAUGUAGCAGAUUCCCACUAGAUCCAGCUGCAGAGCAUGGCCAUGGCUCAUCUCCCCAUGCCUUUGCCUUUACAGUGUUCCCAGAGUGGUUCAGUAAAACAAGUGACUCGGCACACUACAUUGGAAACUUGGCUUGCUCAGCUCCUGGUGACUGAUUCUGAAUUCUUUCUGGAAACAAGAUGAAACCUUCCUAACAAAAAGGAAAAAGGAGUCUUCACCUCCAGGCUGCGGCCACUUUCCCUCCUUCAUGAACUAGAGAUGCAGUCACCCCACAAUCUGAGGGUAAGAUGUUCUGUAUUAGACUUUCAAAAGAAGCAGAACUCAUUUGCAAAUAUUUUGCAGGGCCCUGUAGCCCUCUUCAGGGGCACAUCGGGCAGAAGUGUCAGCUUGAGAAAUCCAGGACUUCUAAGAGAGUAAAACCACAAAGCUCUGAUCUGACCAUGAAUGUUACAUUGCAUUUCAUUAUUGGUUUGGCACACAUUAUAACAGAUGAAUAUAGAGGGCUUCAUCUGUAUCUUGGAAUCUCUGCACUUCUAUUAUCAUGAAAGAUAUUUUAAAGGUUGUUGCCUUGGAUAGAAGAAGAAGAAAAUAACCUUUACUUGUGCAGAUAUUGCACUAAAUAUUGGCAUGUGCAUAAACGGAGGCUGUAGUCAGAAAAUACAAUCCAUAAAGAUUUAGGGGAUGUUGUUCAAAGCACAUAAAUUUAUCCCUUGUUCACAUGCAUGUAUAAAUAUCUGCAUAAGAAAAUCGAGUCUUCGGUGACCAGUCUAGAUCAUGACCUUAUAAAAGCAGCUCCUGUGCAAGAGUCCACUUGACAAUUUCCUAUGCUCUAACCACCUCCUUUCAUUGCAAUCUUAAUGAGGGCUUUCACGUGCACAACAAAAAUGAGAUGAGAGAGUUUGGGGAAACCUCCUUGUCAGGGAAAACCAACACCUUGAAUUAAAGGCAUCAAGUAUUUGAGCCUCUUCUCAGGAUAUAAAGCUAAUAGCAUGCAUUGAACUACUGAAAUACUAUAAAAUAAAGGAGUGCUGUUCCAUAAACGCAGCCCCUAAAACUGCAAAGAGAUGCUUGCUUCUGAUCUGCAGGAGUCUCUUCUUCUCUGUGUUGCAUAGGAAGAAACAUUCAGCUUAACCUGUGGGUGCUGCCUCCAGCAAUAUUUUAGCAAUUUGAUAUUAAAAAAACCACACCUGCUAUUUCUUGGGACUUCCACUUUCCCCUGAAUAUUUUUUUUUAAUGUGUUAUUAAACUAAAGAACAUUAGGAUUUUUUCUCCUCUUGUUUUGUUCAGAAAUUGAUUUAUUUUACAGUGGGUAGUUGCAUUACACAGUCUUGUGUAAAACAUGCUGAAUGCUAAAAAAUCACUGGCUAUCUACCACUUGAAGAUUAAUCUUCUCUCUGUUUGAGUAUCUGAGACAACAGGGCUCUCACAGCUGGAGAAGAGCAUUCCAGCUACAGGUUUGUGUUUUUAAUAGCAUGUGAAAGCUGUUGUCAGUUUUUUUUUUCUUUUAUCAUCAACAUCAUGAGAAUAAUUUGUUGUAAUUCUACUGUACAUUUCAUCCAAAAACCUCAGAGUGCUUUACAAGCAUUAAUUAUCCCGACCAACUCAUGCAACAUGUAAAUGAUGCAUAGGGAUAAUUUAACAACUACUGAAAUGAGCUAACUGUAAGGUAGCUCUGUAGAGGUUGUAAAUUAGUCUUACAGGCUACCUGAGUUAGUUGUUGCCUAAGAGAGCUGAAAAGCGCACUACUGACCUGGAAUAGCAAAGUGGCAUUAGCAAGCAGAAUGUAAUUAUGAUUUGGCAAAGUCAAAGUAUCAAAUAAUCACACUAUUGUGAGACUCACACUGAGAUGUGCAAGACUUCUCUUUCAGUGCCAUGUGUGCUGCUGUCUUUGUGUUCUCAGUUCAAUAAGGAUGAUGUACAUUGAUGCAGUCUGGCCAAACUUGAGACUUUUACUUGAAAAAUUCAUGGAAAAGAGGGGAUCUUUGUUUAUUAUUUUUGGGGAAAAUGAAAUUGUUCCUUGUACACUGCAUUUUCAAGACUCUUGAUUUUCAGCUUCAUCCCAAAGACUUCUGCAACAGCACAGGCAAUGCCACUGCUGUGCUGGGAUACGGGUCAAUUUAACUCAGAUUAGAAAUGCCACUACUGAGCUCUAUCUGCUGAAAUGUGACAGGUUCACACAAAAAGGCAGUAAGGCUGAAUAAGUACACAGAUGCAAAUAUUUCUAUUAUACCAGUGCAGUGAGAGAGGUUACUAGGCUCUUGAUGUGCUUCUAAGCUCCAAGUGGAUGGAGCAUAAGCUCUCAUUUCUAGUGCUUUUAGAAACUGAAGUUAGGAGACAAACUUCAUUUUAGUCUUGAAGGAAAUGCUGUUGGUUUUAAAUUCUGCUGAAGCUAUGGCUUAUGGAAUGUGCAUGUUUCAAAACAAGUUUACAAGGACAAUGUUAAUUUUCCUUCUUUUCCCAGGUUUUAUUAAAAGGUAAUUGGCCAUCACUAGUUCCUGUCAGCUGCUCAUCUUAAAACAGUGGCUGUCUCUGACAUCAGUCAGCUGUUGCCACAGGAAAGAUUAAGUUGUCUUAAUUGCACAUGCUGUCAGUUAAAGACAUCAGAGGAAAAAAAAAAAAGCCUAUGGCUAGAGAAUAUUAAGGUAUGCUUGUAACAAAUGGUAGAUGCUAGAGUAGGUACACAAUGAAAACAAUUGUUCAUCUACUACCAGUGAGUUCAGCUUCUCAAGUUCAUUGCUGAAGGUGAGGUUUAGGGUCGCAUCCUGUAUCAGCUACAGCAACCUCUGUUUGCUUAUUUUGAGGGAAAGUCCUAGGCCUUCGCCAGCUGAGGAUGUGGCCCUGGCAUCAUACUCAAUUGCCACGAGUGUCUUUGUCCUCUGAGUUUUGAAGAGAGACGCAGAUGCAGCCUGUACACCCAUGCAGGUAUCCUAACACAGUGUUUGGAAACAGAAUUCAAGAUACAUAUAUAUACACACACACAUAUAUAUGUAUUUUAAAUACAUAAUGGGGCCUGAGUAAUUUACUUUGAUUUAUGCACGUGGAACUAGGCAGCAAGGAAGGGGUUAAUCAUGAAGUAUUUCACCUUGAACCUUGCACUCUCUUUAUCUAGCACACAAUAAUAAAAGAUCAAGAGUUCCUGCUUAUUAUCUUAUUUUUCCUCCUUGUUCCACUAGGCUAGGGCCCAGACUAGUUAUGGAUUAACACUGUGAUCAAUAGUAAGCUUGCUGUCUCACUCUUGGCAGGGGAAAAUGAACUCAAAAUGCAGUCAAACUCUUAUUGAUCAAGGAUAUAGGUCUCACUUUCAUUACCUCUGUCUCCUGAUAACCCACAUAUAAUGUGAUGAGCUGCUAAUCUCUCUGAUUUUCAAUGGACCCUUCACCCUUCCUGUCUGCACAGUAUAGCUUUUAUUUUUGCCUCUUCUGUGUAAUGCUUGUAGCGUUAACUCUCACUCUAUUACCAUCAGACCUGGUCAAUCAGGAUUCAUAAAAUGACUUUCAAGCAGAAUUGGGCCAACUGUGUUAAGGUUAUAUUUGGGUAUCUCCAAGAAAGAGCGUUACUUUUCAAUAAUAAACAGAUCAGGUGAGGGAGAAGACUGUUUCAUCUACAACACUGACAAAGAUCAGGUAGUUUGGACUACCCAAAGCCAUCUCAGAAGAAAGUGUUAUGUGCUUAAAAUAUGUGCUGUGCCAUAACAUUCUUGUGGCCUUUAGAGAACAUUUAGCUUAUCAUUUCAUUCUGUCCAUUGUGGAUAAAGAUCUAUUUCACGUCCAUCCAGUCGUCUGUAACUUUGCAUACUUGCAAAGAAAUACUAGUCCCUUAGAAUAGACUUGAAUGUAUAUAGGUGGGUACAUUUUAUAUGGUGAAUACAACACUUCCUCAUCUUAACGUAGAUGAGCUGAUCAGUGUCUUUGGAGAGAUGGAAAUUGCUUCACCACAUUGCCACAAAACUUAGGGGAGUAUUUUCACCGACCUCUGUGAGCAGUGGACAAUACUUCCUGGGACCAAAUUGCUCAACACCAAGCAAAAAGUGGAAAAGAAGUUUAUUGAUGACUCUACCAGACAGAGAAAUGCUGGAAUUUUGUCAUCUUCUGGACAUUUUUUUUGGAAGCUCAGAUACCAUCUUUGUUUUACAAUUCUGAAAUGAAAGCAUUUUCUUCAGGGAUAUAAUUUGCUUGACAGAAAAAAAGGUUUGCAUUGAUUUUGUUGUUCAAUUUUUAACCCCAUAUUACAAAAACGUUCCUAUUGAAGAAACAUUUUUCUUUAUUUUCCAUUGUUGAUAACAAUUGUAAUGAUAAAACUGAA